rnacentral:rRNA from 1 species
GACGAACGCUGGCGGCGUGCCUAAUACAUGCAAGUAGAACGCUGAAGGCGGAGCUUGCUUCUCUGGAUGAGUUGCGAACGGGUGAGUAACGCGUAGGUAACCUGCCUGGUAGCGGGGGAUAACUAUUGGAAACGAUAGCUAAUACCGCAUAAGAGUAGAUGUUGCAUGACAUUUGCUUAAAAGGUGCAAUUGCAUCACUACCAGAUGGACCUGCGUUGUAUUAGCUAGUUGGUGGGGUAACGGCUUACCAAGGCGACGAUACAUAGCCGACCUGAGAGGGUGAUCGGCCACACUGGGACUGAGACACGGCCCAGACUCCUACGGGAGGCAGCAGUAGGGAAUCUUCGGCAAUGGACGGAAGUCUGACCGAGCAACGCCGCGUGAGUGAAGAAGGUUUUCGGAUCGUAAAGCUCUGUUGUAAGAGAAGAACGAGUGUGAGAGUGGAAAGUUCACACUGUGACGGUAUCUUACCAGAAAGGGACGGCUAACUACGUG